rnacentral:rRNA from 1 species
GACGAACGCUGGCGGCGUGCUUAACACAUGCAAGUCGAACGGAAAGACCCUGCUUUUGUGGGGUGCUCGAGUGGCGAACGGGUGAGUAACACGUGAGUAACCUGCCCUUGACUUUGGGAUAACUUCAGGAAACUGGGGCUAAUACCGGAUAGGAGCUCCUGCUGCAUGGUGGGGGUUGGAAAGUUUCGGCGGUUGGGGAUGGACUCGCGGCUUAUCAGCUUGUUGGUGGGGUAGUGGCUUACCAAGGCUUUGACGGGUAGCCGGCCUGAGAGGGUGACCGGCCACAUGGGGACGGAGAUACGGCCCAGACGCCGACGGGAGGCAGCAGUGGGGAAUAUUGCACAAUGGGCGGAAGCCUGAUGCAGCAACGCCGCGUGCGGGAUGACGGCCUUCGGGUUGUAAACCGCUUUCGCCUGUGACGAAGCGUGAGUGACGGUAAUGGGGAAAGAAGCACCGGCUAACUACGU